GACGAACGCUGGCGGCGUGCUUAACACAUGCAAGUCGAACGGAAAGGCCCUGCUUUUGUGGGGUGCUCGAGUGGCGAACGGGUGAGUAACACGUGAGUAACCUGCCCUUGACUUUGGGAUAACUUCAGGAAACUGGGGCUAAUACCGGAUAGGAGCUCCUGCUGCAUGGUGGGGGUUGGAAAGUUUCGGCGGUUGGGGAUGGACUCGCGGCUUAUCAGCUUGUUGGUGGGGUAGUGGCUUACCAAGGCUUUGACGGGUAGCCGGCCUGAGAGGGUGACCGGGCACAUGGGGACUGAGGUACGGCCCAGACUCCUACGGGAGGCAGCAGUGGGGAAUAUUGCACAAUGGGCGGAAGCCUGAUGCAGCAACGCCGCGUGCGGGAUGACGGCCUUCGGGUUGUAAACCGCUUUCGCCUGUGACGAAGCGUGAGUGACGGUAAUGGGUAAAGAAGCACCGGCUAACUACGUG
rnacentral:rRNA from 1 species